UGGCUCAGUUGGUAGAGCAUGGUGUUUGCAUGGUGUUUGCAACACCAGGAUUGUGGGUUCAAUUCCCAC
rnacentral:tRNA from 1 species